CGCCAGACUCCUACGGGAGGCAGCAGUGGGGGAUAUUGCACAAUGGGGGGAACCCUGAUGCAGCGACGCCGCGUGGGUGAAGAAGCGCCUCGGCGCGUAAAGCCCUGUCAGCAGGGAAGAAAAUGACGGUACCUGAAGAAGAAGCCCCGGCUAACUACGUGCCAGCAGCCGCGGUAAUACGUAGGGGGCAAGCGUUAUCCGGAUUUACUGGGUGUAAAGGGGGCGCAGACGGCGAUGCAAGCCAGGAGUGAAAGCCCGGGGCCCAACCCCGGGACUGCUCUUGGAACUGCGUGGCUGGAGUGCAGGAGGGGCAGGCGGAAUUCCUGGUGUAGCGGUGAAAUGCGUAGAUAUUAGGAAGAACACCAGUGGCGAAGGCGGCUUUCUGGACUGAAACUGACGCUGAGGCACGAAAGCGUGGGGAGCGAACAGGAUUAGAUACCCGCGUAAA
rnacentral:rRNA from 1 species